UACGGAAGGCAGCAGUGGGGAAUAUUGCACAAUGGGCGAAAGCCUGAUGCAGCUAUGCCGCGUGUAUGAAGAAGGCCUUAGGGUUGUAAAGUACUUUCAUCGGGGAGGAAAAAACAAAACUAAUAAUUUUAUUUCUUGACGUUACCCGAAAAAGAAGCACCGGCUAACUCCGUGCCAGCAGCCGCGGUAAUACGGAGGGUGCUAGCGUUAAUCAGAAUUACUGGGCGUAAAGAGCACGUAGGUGGUUUUUUAAGUCAGAUGUGAAAUCCCUGGGCUUAACCUAGGAACUGCAUUUUGAAACUGAAAUACUAGAGUAUUGUAGAGGGAGGUAGAAUUCUAGGUGUAGCGGUGAAAUGCGUAGAUAUCUGGAGGAAUACCUGUGGCGAAAGCGGCCUCCUAAACGAAUACUGACACUGAGGGUGCGAAAGCGUGGGGAGCAAACAGGGAUUAGAUACC
rnacentral:rRNA from 1 species